UGCUGCGCCCCGCCCCGCCCCACGCCUGCAUGGAGUUUCUCUCUCCCUGUUGUGUUUAUUUUUCUGUCCAGAUGCCGAAGGCCCUUCGCUUUCGUUUCCCGUGAGCACGCCGUCUCAGACCCAGACCCAGGCAGGCCCAAAUGGACCCCAGUCAUCCAUCUGCGCCGCGAGCAAGUGGAGUUGGUNCGUGCGCCCCGCCCUCCCUGGAGCAUCCCCGCGGCCGCCUUUGAACGGGAUUCCAGGGCACACGGCAAAGCCAGGCGCGGGGCCUGCCUUUCUCACCCUGGACAGCCUGGGAAACACUGGACNGGAAGAACCAACGGACAAGGGGAAAGGAGACAAUUUAUUGCCACUUUGGGACCAUAUUUUCUUGUCUCUGGUUGUAAGCAGGUUUGCUGGAGAAGUAAAUUAGCAGUUAAUUAGCAGGGACAUGAUUGAUCGAGGCACUGGGAGCAGUGGGGGAUUCCAAAUGAAAAGUUGCUCCCCUCCUGGCAGAGACCCUCCGCUCCGCGCAACAUCGCAGCUCCCUGGCAAAGGAGCUGCAGCUUUUCCAAAUAAGAUGAGACUAUUUAUCCCUCCCUUUACCCAGAGGGCUCAGGGCGGGUUACAGUAAAAGCAGGGUAAAAACACAUGUAAAAUGAAUUGGCAAUGUCUGAAAGGGGAGGAGAAGCUAUAACUUCAGCCAAGGGCCAAGGGCAAAGAGGUGCAUUUCCAUCAUGCAUGUAAUUAUAUACACUGUGCCUCAGAAGGGAGGCCAUGCCACAGCCUGGGGCUACCACAAAGAAGGUCCUGUCGCUUGCCCUUGCACCCUUAACUCUGGGAGGAGGCACUCCUUUAGGUAUUUGGGGGCCAAGUUGUUUAGGGCUUUAUAUGCCAGUGUUAGCACCUUGCAUUUGGCUUGGUAGCAAAGUGACGACCACUGCAGUUCCUUNAGGAUCAGCAUGAUAUGCUUCCAGCCUGGAGUACCUGUUCCAAACUGUCUUCAAGGGCAGCCCAGCAUAGAGUGCAUUGCAGUAGUUCUGGCUGAGGUUACCAGGGCAUGGAUCAUUGCCGCCAANCCAUCUCCAUCCAGAAAGGGUCACAGUUGGCCAAAGAGCCUGAGUUGGAGGUAGGCGCCACUGCCCCCAAGUGUCCAGUGAUAGUGAUGGGUCCAGGAGCAUCCUCAAUCUACACGCCUGUUCCUUUGAACUCAGACUCCACUGUGCUGUAGGAUGGAUUAAACAGAUGUGGUGCAAACAAGCCCAUAAGAACAUAAGAAGAAGGGCCUCGGCUCAUCUAGUCCAGCAUCCUGUCCCACACAAAACCUUCACCUGCUCUUAACUCCCAGCAAAUGGCCUUUAGGGGCAUCCCGCCUGUCUCUCCACCCUGGAGGCAGUACCUGGGCAUCCAUUCUAGUAGCCAAUGAUACACCUAGCCUCCAUGA
rnacentral:lncRNA from 1 species